rnacentral:misc_RNA from 1 species
AGUUCUUAUAAAUAUUGGACAUUUCAGGUGAGGAAUCAUGGAAUUCAACAAGCAGCUGAGUGCAAGUAAUUGUAGCAGCCAGUGUAACAGUGCCUGGGAACAGUAGCAAGCCUUGCAUGUACUUGAACAGGAAAACUUUUUUUGGUGCAACUUCACUAAUCUUGACAAAAGUAAAUACAUGAGGAGCUCCAUUUCUCAAAGAGAUAGC